UAACUGAAGAGUUUGAUCAUGGCUCAGAUUGAACGCUGGCGGCAGGCUUAACACAUGCAAGUCGAGCGGGGGAAGGUAGCUUGCUACCGGACCUAGCGGCGGACGGGUGAGUAAUGCUUAGGAAUCUGCCUAUUAGUGGGGGAUAACAUCUCGAAAGGGAUGCUAAUACCGCAUACGUCCUACGGGAGAAAGCAGGGGAUCUUCGGACCUUGCGCUAAUAGAUGAGCCUAAGUCGGAUUAGCUAGUUGGUGGGGUAAAGGCCUACCAAGGC
rnacentral:rRNA from 1 species